GAUGAACGCUAGCUACAGGCUUAACACAUGCAAGUCGAGGGGCAGCAUUUCGCUAGCAAUAGUGAAGAUGGCGACCGGCGCACGGGUGAGUAACACGUAUCCAACCUGCCGAUAACUCGGGGAUAGCCUUUCGAAAGAAAGAUUAAUAUCCGAUAGUAUAUUAAAACCGCAUGGUUUUACUAUUAAAGAAUUUCGGUUAUCGAUGGGGAUGCGUUCCAUUAGUUUGUUGGCGGGGUAACGGCCCACCAAGACUACGAUGGAUAGGGGUUCUGAGAGGAAGGUCCCCCACAUUGGAACUGAGACACGGUCCAAACUCCUACGGGAGGCAGCAGUGAGGAAUAUUGGUCAAUGGACGAGAGUCUGAACCAGCCAAGUAGCGUGAAGGAUGACUGCCCUAUGGGUUGUAAACUUCUUUUAUAUGGGAAUAAAGUAUUCCACGUGUGGGAUUUUGUAUGUACCAUAUGAAUAAGGAUCGGCUAACUCCGUGCCAGCAGCCGCGGUAAUACGGAGGAUCCGAGCGUUAUCCGGAUUUAUUGGGUUUAAAGGGAGCGUAGGUGGAUUGUUAAGUCAGUUGUGAAAGUUUGCGGCUCAACCGUAAAAUUGCAGUUGAAACUGGGAGUCUUGAGUACAGUAGAGGUGGGCGGAAUUCGUGGUGUAGCGGUGAAAUGCUUAGAUAUCACGAAGAACUCCGAUUGCGAAAGGCAGCUCACUAGACUGUCACUGACACUGAUGCUCGAAAGUGUGGGUAUCAAACAGGAUUAGAUACCCUGGUAGUCCACACAGUAAACGAUGAAUACUCGCUGUUUGCGAUAUACAGUAAGCGGCCAAGCGAAAGCAUUAAGUAUUCCACCUGGGGAGUACGCCGGCAACGGUGAAACUCAAAGGAAUUGACGGGGGCCCGCACAAGCGGAGGAACAUGUGGUUUAAUUCGAUGAUACGCGAGGAACCUUACCCGGGCUUAAAUUGCAAAUGAAUAAUCUGGAAACAGGUUAGCCGCAAGGCAUUUGUGAAGGUGCUGCAUGGUUGUCGUCAGCUCGUGCCGUGAGGUGUCGGCUUAAGUGCCAUAACGAGCGCAACCCUUAUCUUUAGUUACUAACAGGUUAUGCUGAGGACUCUAGAGAGACUGCCGUCGUAAGAUGUGAGGAAGGUGGGGAUGACGUCAAAUCAGCACGGCCCUUACGUCCGGGGCUACACACGUGUUACAAUGGGGGGUACAGAAGGCAGCUACCUGGUGACAGGAUGCUAAUCCCAAAAACCUCUCUCAGUUCGGAUCGAAGUCUGCAACCCGACUUCGUGAAGCUGGAUUCGCUAGUAAUCGCGCAUCAGCCAUGGCGCGGUGAAUACGUUCCCGGGCCUUGUACACACCGCCCGUCAAGCCAUGAAAGCCGGGGGUACCUGAAGUACGUAACCGCAAGGAGCGUCCUAGGGUAAAACUGGUAAAA
rnacentral:rRNA from 1 species